rnacentral:misc_RNA from 1 species
UGGAACUGCAAGACAUGAAUUUAUUCAAUCAUAAACAACUGGAAUUAAAUAAGGAUAAUUUAGCAUACAUGGAUUUCCAUGAAUUGAAGAAAAAUUAAAGUAAAAUUUAUCCUUAUUUAAUCCUUUAAAAUACAUUAACACUUCAUGAAAUCACAAUAUAUAGUAUAAGCUAUCCUAAAAUUGAUAUAUUCUUAUUUUUGGAUUUAUAUAAAUUAUUAGGCUCACACAGAAAACCGUACCCAUUGCUCGCAUCUCCUUAUAUAACAAAAAUAUAUUCUUAGUAUAGCUGCGAAUUGUGGCUCUCAUCAUUCAUCGAUCCCAUUCACAUCAUUCGUCGUGGAUUACGAACGCUUAACAGCUUCACAUCGUCAAGAACAGGUCCACAAAGGGAAGAGAAGUCAUCACUCCUCAUGGCGUAAAAUGUGCUAUAGAACAUAAGCCGAGUUCUGUUUGAAACAGCAACAAAUUUAAGCACUGCACGCUUGAAUCCACCUUUGCCCUUUGAUUCGUAAGGAACUUUGAGAGUUUCUUUACCGGCGAAAGCUUCUACCACCAUGGACCCUUCGCAGGAGUUGCUGGCAUCGCCAACUGCGAAAGAGAGGGUGUAAGUUUUGCCAAUGGUUGUUCUGGCUACUUGGGCAAUGGCACUUUCUUUUCCAGCUACAAGUUCUAUGGCUCGUCUUUCUUGUGGGACAGAGAAAUGGUCUGAGUCUAUGUACUUUACCGCUUUCAGGGAUUCCACCAUCCACCCUGGAAGGGGAGAGUGAUCAUCUUCAAUGUUUGGUGGGAUUAAGACACCCCAGGAUGUGUUGGGAAACACGUAUGGACCUUCUUCAAAACCUCCAUUUUUCAGUAUGUUCUCUGUUCAACAUAUACAAGAAAUUUCUAAUUAUUAAAUGAAACAGAUAAACUUUUUCCUAUUUCUCCUUUAUUGCCCCCUCUAAUGAUCUACUUUUGCCACUUGCUUUUAUGUUUCCCUUGACAGAGACCGGAAAAAUAAAAAAUUGAUCGGUGAGUAGUGCUUGCCUGCAAUUUUCGCUACCUCUCCAAGGACUUAACAAUUUACAAAAACAGGGUAUCUACCUCUAGUCUUUGUGAACUUACUAUUAGUUGGUCUGGGAGGAAACAGAGCUCUAAUGGCCACUGAAUCAAUGAGAGGACCGCAAGCAGGAUCUUCUUCCACUCCAGGAUUAUGUAUGACAAGAUCCACCUCAGGGUACUCAGCUUGAAAGGCCCAGGCAUAGGAGUCCCAUCCGUUGCUACUGUACAUAGUUUGCAUUGGCAGAACACCCCAAUCAGGAGACACAGACACGUUCAAUUUCUCUUCCUGUGCACAAGUUCUAGCAGCACUAAACGUGAUUGAAUAGUACAUGCCCUUUAUAACUCUUAGUCUCUGCUUAAUUGAUGCCUCGUUCCCAAGCCUAACUGCAUAGGCUCCCUCUGGCACCACUAGCAACAUGUCCCCUUGCUUUUGCCCUGAUUUUAUGUACUCUACAAACCCAGAAAUCUGCCAUUCUGGUAUGGCGUUGGGAUUUUUCACCUGUGUGCCAUUCAGGUCCGAUGGCUUGGGGCCGAGCUCGAAGUUGCCGUUUUUAACUAAUCCUGCAAUAAAAGUAACAAGCCAAUUAAAAGAAGAGGCCAAAAGCAGAAAGGGAAAAUGAAUUCAUCCGGCUGAAACUCUGUAUAUAACAGAACAUUGUUUUCUCCCCUCACAUGGUUCCAUAUGCCAGUUUUGGCCGUAGUAUUGAAAAUUCUGAGCUAUUUAUAGUAAGCCGGUAAGUAAUAACUUCGAUGCUAUCCUUUCUUUCUAAAGCCAAAGUUUUAAAUAUCAUGUGCAUCUUUGCUGGCUCGACCUGCAACUGCAAAGGGCCAGCAGUGAAGUGGUCCAAUGUGCUCGUACAGCAGAUGGAGAUGGGCUAGAAACCCAGUUCUCGUCAGAGGAUUUAGAUAUAUGAAAUCAAAUUAAACCAAUCAGGAGCAUAGCAAAUCUACAUGAUGAUCUAUAUAAUAUCUACCAAUGCCCUUCUCAUUUUCAUUAUUUUUUUUUUUUGCAAAAUUUAUGUCUUUCACAUAUGAAUAUGACCGCUAAAAAAGAUGGGUGAAAAGUCUUUAAACCUGGCAGAAAACUCUGCAGAUAUCUGUCAACUAGUUAAGGCCAAGAAGAUGGAUAAAAAGUUGACCUCUCCAUCAAAGAAAGGAUCAACACCAUUAAAAAAAGGUCAUUUGGGCCAUCUAAUCUUAAAUACAGCAUCAAAACAAGUUGCCACCUCCAUUUAUGUUAGCCAAAAAUGGAAUGGACGCCAAUUAAAUUGAAUUCAUUAGUAAGUUUUCUGGUGCCAACAGGCAUUUCUUGAUCUGGGUUUUCUCAGGAACAGGUGUGCAAGUGUUAUGUUCCUAUAACUAUACAUGUAUGGGCAGAGAAACAGAAGCAUAAGCAUAUAAGCAUGUUCCAGGUUUAAAAGCUAACCGUCCCUGAUGGAUAAGGAAAAUUGGCAGGUGGCAAUCAGUAGCACCGACAGCAAGAUAGCCCCUCUCAUUCUUUUAGUCUGUUGCAAUUGCAAGUACAAGAGAAUGGAAGAAGAGAAGGUAUGUGGAAUAUGCAUAUAAUGGAAAGCUGGGAGAUCAGCUAAGCCUUAUAUGCAUGCCUUCAUGGGAGAGAGACCUUGCAUUUCAAAGAAAUUACGAAAUUGGCAUUAGAGGCGCUACCUUCACUAGGCAUGCCAGUUAAUGACGAAAUAGCCCUUUGGUUUCGCUCUCCCUUAAGCUGUUCCAGGAGCUUGCAUGGAAUGGCCACGAUACUUUCACUUCAUUUGCUGGACUUUUCACUUUUGUCUGCUGCUGUCUCAGGUUAUAAUCGGUAUUUCAAUUAUUAUCAUAUGAGAUAAGCUUAUGCUUUCUUGUUUAUCACAAUUAUUCAAUGUACAAUAUCUGUUCUUAUACCUUUGCAGACUCUGCUGCAACAAGAUUACAUGUUUAAAUUCUGAACCUCCCGAGUUGAUUUGGCUCGAUUUUAUCAUAAUUAAAACUAAAUAAACUAGA